rnacentral:lncRNA from 1 species
GUAGCCACCGUCAGUGGUGUUUGGAGGCUACAGCUGUUCCGACUGAUGCUCAUAGGACUCAUACAUGGUAUGUCAUCUGUAUUCGUGGUGAAAAAUGGCUACUGAACAACUUGCACAAUGGAAGUCUACUCAAGCUGCCUCCUUGUCAAAUUAACAUACUAACAGCAGUGAUAAAAAUGUGACCUUCAACCUGCCCUGUAAUUUAGAAGUACUAAAUAACAAAUGUCGUGGUCAAGGAAAUGCUUCUCAUGCCAGUCUAAUGAUUGUUUUUAGAAAAGGAUAUACAUUGACCUUCAAUGUAAUAAGAAAUGCAACACUUUACGGUGUCCAACUGCUAAGAUUUAUUUCCAACUUGUCAGACACAACUAUUUUGCCCAAUCCAAAUCAAAGGGAAUCAAGGCUGUGAAAUCCACACAGGACAUCAACGCACACAUAAAUGAAAACUACAGAUGUGUCAGAGGCAACCAUAUACACACAAAUAAUGUAACUACUAAAUUCCAUGAAGUAGCUGUCCAGGAAUACUUUCCAAAUAACUUCAGCAAAAAAGAAACACUAUGAAAGCAUAAAGAAACUUUCCUAACAACACUACCAAGGCCAAAGCCUACCAGGUCCCCAUCUUCUGCAGGGCCAAAAUGUUCAUGUGCUUAAUAAGUACAAUAUGAGUAGCACAAGUGGGACCAGUCUGCUUGUAGCAUGAGGUGACAACAUCAUCACCUAUGAGAAAAGACACAAGAUGACUGUGACAGGAGUAUUAAAUAUCAACCCAAAGGAGAACAAUGACCUAUAAUUCUCAUUUAGUGCCACUGGAAAUGCAGUGAAAAUGUCAUUCUUCCUGUCUUCAGUUUUGGAAUGAAUGCAGGUUCUAGCCUGUUUUUCCCACAAGGAUUUCAGUUCAAUACAGUUCUAGGUGACACCAGAAAUCUCAUGUUUAAAGCUUCCAAUGACUCACUGAGAGCCUUUCAAGCCACCAGUGGAAAUUCUUUUAAAUGCAAUCCUAAGGAAAGUGUUCAUGUUACAAACGCCUUUUCAGUAAGCAUAUUCAAAGUUUGGAUGCUUUCAGGUUUUUUGUUUGAAGGUGACAAGUUUGGAUCUGUAGAAGAAUGUCAACCAGAUGAAAAUAUGAUGAGUUCUGUUGCCAGCGGAGGCCCUCAUACAGGGAUUGUCUUCAUUGUCUCAGUUGCUUAUCUCAUUGACAGGAACAGAACUCAUGCCUGGCAUCAGACAAUUUAG